GGGGAAGGGGUCGGAGAGAACCGACUGCAAGUUAGGAAAAUUGAGGACGGGAUAAAGAUAAAAACAUGGCUGUUUCCUCACAACCCCGCGAGAGGCGAAACAGGCUAAAAGAAGUUAGGUAUCUUGGCCACGAUUAGUCAUUCUCACAAGGCCACGUGCUACAAUCCUACAUUGAAUACGUGCCUACACACACGUGUAUCAGGUUUUUGGAAAAUCUUCACAUUUACAACUCGAAUUAUCUGCCAUUCACCAUCAUCAGUUCUUCAAGGCACGGUGUAAGUUCAUUGAGACUGGAGGCCAAGUUAGCCACCCGCUGACACUUUUUUAAAAAAAAGUUAAAACCAUAACAGUUCAUGAAGAUGGAAGAUAUAAAUGAAUAUAAAGACCAGCAACACCGAAGUCACCACUUUUUAUAGUAUUAAAAUACAACUGCUUAGUGCUUUGUUACUUUUGAGAGUUCUUUGCCAUAUUUUCAGAUUUGAUCUUCACACAGAUCUUCAUUUUAGCUAAAACUAAAUACCCUCAACUUUUAAAUCAUAUACACUCCCAUUGAUUCGGCUGCCAUCUCUAUGCAGAUGAUUCUCAGACUUCUUCUUUGCUGACCUCCAGACUUGCAUCUCCAGUUGCCUAAUGAAUAUUUGAACCUGUUGUCUUAUGGACAACAAACUCAACACAUCCAAAAUUAAACCCCUAUCUUUUCCCCAAAACCCUCUUCCAAACUUCUGUUACUAAUGAAGACCACCACCUUCCUCCCAGUGGCCCGGGCUAACAACUUUUUUUAAAUUUGGGACACUUGGAUUGCUUCCAGUUUUUUGUUCUCUGUGUUCUCUCAAAGGCUCAAUUUUACUUUCACCUUUUCCUUGAAGUCAUACAAAAAAGAUCCAGGUCCUUGGCAUCACAUGAAAACCCCCAUAAGAAAACAACUAUACCUUUUGUUUGUAAGAUAUUAAUAGCUUUCAAAUCACCUCCAUUUGUUAUAACUAAUUUGAUUUCCUACAACCCAGUUGGCCCAAAGGGCUUCCCUAUUUUGCAAGAAUGAAAGCCUGAGUAUCAGAGAAAUAACUUGCCUAAGGUUAUAUGGUAAUAAAAGGACCAAAAUAAAAUAAAAAAUUUUAAAUAUUUAUUGAUGAUUAGGGUAAUAAAUACCCUCAUUUCUGAUAGAACCAGCAGUUUAAAAAACCCUACUUUAUCAAAAGCAAAGAUUAUUUUCCUAAUCUGGGAAGUAUGCAUGAAAACAGCACUAACCAUAUAUAGGUGAAUGCAAAGUACAUUAUUAAAAAUAAGUCUUAGAGAGUAUAAGUAAAAACUCAAAGACUAAGAAGGGAAAAAUUAAACACUGGUAUUAGGUUAAAGUACAAAAUACAAAUUUGGAAGAAUAAAACUAAUUUGGCAACUUUUUUCAUUAACAACGACUGGUAUAAAAGGAGAGAGUUUGUAGAUGUGGUUUUUAAAAAAUAAUUUUGGAAACUAGCUUAAUGUAUUUUAUUUAUUCCAAUUACCAAAACACUUGUGCAGGAGGAAAAACAUUUCUUCAACUUAAAAAAACAACUCUUCAAAUUUAACUGCUGGAAAUUCAUUUCUUUUCCUACUCAGCAAAACAAUUCUGCAUAACUAUUAUUCCAGGCAGUUAAAAUAACAGGUUCCAUAAGUUACUACUAUAAUGACUAAAUUUAACUUGGUAUCAAAUUCAGGUACCAAAUUUUAGUUUUAAAAAGAAGAUUUUUAUCUAGUCCAACAUUCAAAUUUAAUUCAUGGUGUCGAAUUUUCAGCCUGUUCACCUGUUAUUAUUAACUAUUUAUGUAUAUAUAAACUGUUUCCUUUCAAAAAAAGUUUAGUCAUUUCUUGAUUUUUACUUCACACAAUUCUCGUCUUCUGGCUUUUUCCUUUGUGCACUUCUCUCAAAAUUUAGAGACCCAGAACUACUUUUAUAAUAGUAGGGUGGCCAGAAAACAAUUAUGAAGCUGUUUAAACCAAAUAGGCCUUCCUCUUCACCUGAAAAUGGAAAUACAAUCUUGAAGAACUACAAAUAGUGAUCCAAAUAACAUUUCCAGAAAAUUAUUCAGAAAAAUGUAUGAAGGUGUACAAAAGACACUUCAAAUGUGGUCUGAAAAUGCAAACUAGGAAUAUGAACUUGAUGAGAAAGACACAAUCAUUCUUUUGUUUACUUAGCCAGAGUAUAUUAUAAGUAUUCAUUAGAGAGUGUAAUCAUUUUGAUGUGCAAUUACAAUGAACUAAAAAAAGGGAACAAAUCCAAUUUAAUAACAAAUUACUUUUAUCUUAUACAAUUACAUUCACAAAUCAUUACAUUGCCAUUUCACUGAAUAUCUGCAAAUUUAAUAAUGUUUACACCUACAAAAUUAGCUACUUCCCGAAGAGUGGAUAUUCUGUUCCACUGCCAUCUUGGGCUAAUUAGAGGUGACAUUCAACAGAAAUUGGAUGCUUUUGUUCACUGAUAUCCCCAUUCUCUUCUAUCCUGAGACUUUGGAUCCUGAGUUAUAAUUCUGAUCUGUGUGAUUCAAGUUGUUAGGUUAUAUAUUUCUUUUUUCUUAAAACAGGGCUAAUUAGUGUCAUUUUUCUUGAGCUAUACAUAGAGUGUUUUUGAUACAAAAACAUAUAAAUAUUCCACGUGAGAAUCAAAAAGGCAUCUAAAUAAUGAUUAGGUUCCUAUAACCUGUUGAUAGCACUAAUUGAAAUGCACCCUUUGCUUCUUACUACUAUUUUUUGUCUUUUAUAGCAAAGAGGGAAGCUAUGUAACAGUUAAUUGUCAAACCUGAUGAGGGUUCACUGUGAACCUUUGUAUUCAGGCACAAAUUUUGUUUGUAAUGCAAAUACAUAAAUAGAGUUUAACUUCAGUUAAUACCCCAUUAUCAAAAAUAAGUACUAUACAAAGAAUUUCAAAUAUGCUAAAGUAGUUCAUGAAAAUUGACACAAUAGUUUUCCCUGAAAGGAAACAGGGCUGCCAAAUGAAUUUCAAGAAUUAAUGAGAGAGGAAAAGAAACCUUACUUUAAUGCUUCAUUUAUUGCUACAUAAUGACUACUUCAAGGGUCAUCUGUCUGGCCUAUCGUCAAUCACAUGAGGAAAUUGUAAAUAAACUGGUAUACGUAAAGGAGUGUAGAGGGAGAAGAAAUCAUUGUAGUAUAAAAAUAUCACCAAUUUAUAAAUUAUUAAAGAUACAGUUAUAAAACACAUACUUGUCAUUUUCUCUCUAUAAAAACAAUACACUUAAAUAUAGAAGCACAAGUUCCUAAAGCACCUACAAUCAUUUGAUUUAUAUAUGUAUUUAAUCAGGAAAAAUCUCAUAUGCUAAAUCUGGAGAAGAAAAAAAAAGGCAAAAAUCCUCAUCUUUAUCCAAAUACUCAAGAGUUUAAAUACAGAGACGGCUGAUGCUAAUAAUACAAAUCAGCAGUCCUUUUGUACUCUCUAGGAUAUGAAAACAGUUCUAUGCCACUGAAAUAUAGAUUUGUAAAUGGGGGCAUCUCACUUGUACAGAUGCAAAAGAGAUGUUCCUGACUUAGGAGACAUUAAGAAUCUUCAUUAAAACCGUUGUGAACAUAAAGCAAUACAGCUAAUUGCAAUACUUUGGCGUAGCAUUAAAACCAGCACAGUAUAUGUUGCAGAUUUCUUGAAGACAAAAGAAGUCUUCACCUUUUUUUUGAGUACCUGUAAUAAGUAUAAAGUUUCAGAAAUGGUGGAAACCUAAAACUUAUCGGUUCAUCCAUACUGUGCUAGGGCUUUUAAAAAAUUAAAUUUCAUCAUAAAAGCUAAGCUCAAACGUUUAAUCUCAAACAUAUCUAUUUUAGUGUCUAUAGCAUUGCAGUUUUGGUGCCGAUGUUAAUUCUAACAAAUCAGUUUAUAAUGCAUAGUAGCACAGUUAUUUUUGCUAAAAUAGAUUUUCUAUAAGGAAAAACAUUAACUCUAUCUCCAAUGGUAAAACAGUAGAGUUGGAGGUGCCACCGUGGAUCACUGGAAUUAGAGCACUAUCAAGAUCAUUUAAGUAAUGUUGAGGAAGAAGCUGACCUCCAGAUCCUGCCUGAAAUUCAACCUGAAAAAUAUAUAAAUUACAUUAGCAAAGGAGUAGUAACAAUAGAGACCCAUUCACUGAAGAACUCCUAAACAAAUUAUAAUACAUGAACAUAAGAAAUGGUAAUAUACAUAUGAGGAAAUAUAUGAAAUAAGCCAAACCAGGAAAACAAUGUGCACAAUGACUUCAAAAAUGGAAAUGGAAAUGACAACUACAAUGAAUAUUGCUGCAAAAUUAUGACUAACCUUGUAUCCAAAGAAGAGAUAUGAAAACACCAUCCCCCUCCUUUGCAGAGAAACACCAUUCAAAUAGUGUGACACCACUCAACGUGAUUACCAAACAACAAAAAGAAGAGAAUGGAACAAUAAUAUCCCAGCCAUCAAGGAAAAAUGGCCUACGUUUUCAAAUUGCUGUCCUAGACAUUCUCCAUCAUAUAAAUGUUGAUUUUUUUGAGUGAGAAUUUACCCUUUAGGUUACAAAGGGGGAAUGAAGAUGACAUUUUAAAAAACCGAAGCACAUCAAUGUGUAAUCAAAGAAGAACAAGUAUCUGAAGAAGAAAAGAAUCUUUACCUGCAUCAAAAGAUUGGAGGGUGGCAAUGGGAAACACAAGAGAAGUGAAAGAAGGCCCCCUGAACACCAGGAGAGAAGAGCUCUAUGUGGGGUUUCUUGUGAAAACACUUGAAAAGGACCCACACUGUACAGAGAAAGCAGCUGCUUCCUCCCAAGCAAUGCUAAUAUGAAGACAUAGAUGCCAUCGGCUAUACUACCUACUUCUGGUAAAUGACUUGAACCCAUGAUAAGUAACCUUAAAAGUCUUAGGCAAGAUCUGAUACAGCCUACGAAGGACCAAGGAGCAUACAAUGAUAGAGGUAAAUCAAGAAAGGCUCAAAGGUAUUUAAACUUAGGCUCAGAGAGGAUGAAUGAUUUGACCAAGGAGACAAAGGAAGUAAGAGGAAGAGCAGAGAUAUGAACCUAGAUCCUCUGGUUCCAAAUCUGCCAUAUUUUCCACCACACCACACUGUCUUCAGUGUGGAGAGCUUCAGAAAAGCAAAUUUGAGAUAAGUUAAGGAUUUGGGUAUGUGGACAGGAUUUAAAAAAUCAGAAAUGACCAUCACAUAAAACAAUAUAAUGGGAAAUGAGGUAAUUAAAAUACUAACUUUGGAUAUUUUUCUUAUAUUGACAAUAAUGAUUGUUUUUUUGAAGGAGAAAUAUGUGAAAAUCAACCUAAACUCUAACUUAGGAAAGAACCAUUUAUCCUUUUUAAAAGUUAAUGGGAAAUAUUUUAGCAUAAGGUGAUUAAAAAUCUAUAUUGAAUUCUUUUUUUUUUAAUCCCUUACUAUGAGUUCAAAAGCAAAAGAGCAGUAAGAGCUAGGCAAUGGGAGUUAAGUGACUUGCCCAGGGUACAUUCACAGCUUAAGAUGUUGACAAGGUUAAUAUGAUGACAAGGUUAAGUUGAUGAUUUUAAAAUAGUGUUAUGCCUGGUUAUGACCCAAGAUAGAUGUAACUCUUAAAUCUUAUAUUUUUUUUAAGUCUGCAAUAAUCUUGACGAAAAAAUGAUUUGGGGCAUUUGCUGUUUUCCUAUCCUCUGUCAUAACUACAUUUUUUUCCAGUAUGUGUGUUUCCUUAAAACUUUAAUAAUAACUGCUUAGUCCCCAAGUUAUUUUAUUUGUUUUUAAUUAUAUUGAUAUCCUUUUUAAAAAAUCACUUUAUUUCCCAAUAUAUCCCUCUCCACUGCCUCACCCAUUCUUUAUAAAAAAGAAUAAAAAUGGAAGAGGAAACAAAGUAGCUCACCAAAAAUAACCAAUACAUACAUUAAGUCUGUCAUGAUAAGCAGUGUUCUACCUCAUUACAUUUUUUAAAGGAAAAAAAGCCUUAAUACACAAAAGAAAAUACAUAAACCCCCACAAAAUAAACUGGCCUAUUGUGUAAUUACAAAACAAUUUUUUAGUUAACGAAAAAUAGUAGGGAAGACGUUUUAUAGACUAUUUGUACUAAAAAACUUAGAUGAGUACAAACAUAAAUGAAUUCAAUAAAAGUGGUGAUAUACCAUUUCCCAAAGUAACUAUCACUGGCUAAGAUAAAAAGUUAUAUUUGGCACUGGGGCUUUUCUGUCGACCACUGUAUAAACAUGUAUUUUUUUUUCAGUUAACCCUAAACUUCAAUGACAGACCAAUAGCCAGUGUACACCUAACAAAAACUAGAAAAAAAUACUUGCCUAGAUUCUUCAAUGGAAGUGACCACUCUAGAUUAGAAUAACAGAGAAAAUUCAAGGUGAGUAGAACAUGCACCCUUUUCUGUAGAUAAUCCAAUUUCAAAGGGUUCAAAGAAAGAACAGAUAGGACACCACAGACAAAAAUUGUAUGGGAGAAUGCAGCCCAAGAGGAAUAGGAGGCUCUAAGUAAUAAAAUUCUUAAGAUACAAAAAUAAUUCCAAAGAAUAAGGUCAUUAUCUAGAGAUCAACAUGUGUGCUAAGGGAAUUCACCUGUCAACUUAAGGUACUUUUUUGUCUUUGUCUUUAUAUUUUAUUUUAUGUAAACACAUGGUACUUACUGGCUAUUCAUUAAUCAUAGGAUAAAACAUUUAAAGUCUGAAAGGAACUUAAGAGUCCAUCUAUUUUAAUAGCUAAAGAAUUUGAGGCUCAGAGAAGUUACUUGCCCAAGGUGACAUAGUUAUUGAGUGGCAGAAGCAGGAUUCAAUCCCAGGUCCAAAGCCAGCAUUUUCCACACAUGCCCCUCUACCUUCAAGCCACACAGUCAACAGACACCAUAAUCCCCAAACCCUAUUUUUGUUUAUCUGUGCAGGGGACUAGAUAACAUAAAAUAUCCUCUCCCCCAAAUCCCCAGAUACUUCUUUUUGCCCCACUUUAUUAAUGUGUCUCAGUGCUGGUCAGAUUCCAGUUGCUUAAGGGGUUAAAUUUCUUUCCAAAAUGAAGAUGAAAUUUACAGUGAAUAUGACCUACACUUCUAUGAUUUCCAUUCAAAGUACUCUUCGUCUUUCUUUGACUUUCAUGAAGACCACCACUGGGCUGGUCCUCACAAUCCUGAUCCUAUUUGUCUUAAGUUGAUUUUCCUUGUUUUCUCCACAAGCAAGCCUGCUUAACCCACCUUCCUCUAUUUCUUAUAACAAAAAUAUUUAAGUAAAGUCAAUGCCAAGAAAGGCCAAACUGCUUCUGACCACAUAUAGAAAUUCUACUUAGACAAUCCUUAAUUCUCUAAGAGAAAAUGCAUUUCCUUAGUUCUCCAAGAUUUUUCAUUAGUUCAUCAGAAUUAGAUUAUUUUUUAGUAUCAUUUACUUUAUUAUUGUCGAUCUAUAUACCAUUCUCUUGGUUCACCUUCACUUUGCAUUCAUUAAGCCUCUUCAUGUUUGUAUGAAUGCUUCAUAGUUGAUAUUUUAUGGCAUAUUUAAUAUUCUGUAAUAUUCUUCACAAUUUGUUGUCAUUUUCCUGAUCAAAGGGCAUAGUUUGUUGUUUUUUUAUGAAUUAAAAGAGUUCUGCUAAGAAUAUUUUCUUACAUAUAAUACCUUGUAUUCUGUCAUUUGCCUGGACCCAGACCCAGUAACAGAAUUGCUAGAUAAAAGGGUAUUAUGACUGGUUUAGUGACUUUUCUCAAUUCCAAAUUCAUUUUAGAACAGGGCAUUAGAAUCUUCCAGGUCAUUUGAUGGGUCUGAGGGAACACUUCAGAAUAACCUUAAUCUGCAUUUCUAUUACUAGUAAUUUGGAAUAACCAUCUAAUUGUUGAUUAAUUACAUUUCUUCUGAAAUCGACUGUUCAUAUUCUUUCAUAUUAUGAACAUAUAACAUGUAUAUAUUAUGAAUUAUAUAUUGGGGACUGGUUCUUAGUUUUAUAGUCAUUAAUUUCCUAUAUAUCUCAGGUAUAUUUAUUAGAGAUAUUUCAUGCAAAACUUUUUUUUAAACAGCAAUUUUCAAAAAGAUACAUGCAGAAGACAAAAUUGGAGCAUGGUAACGGGAUAAAUACAAAAGCACACAUAGAACUAUAAUAAUUGUGUCAGGAGAGUCAAAGCUUAAUAUAAGUUGAGGCUAAGAAAGAAAGUUAAAAAUAAUAACACUUAAAAAUGUAUUUUAUAUAUAAAAUACUUACAUAUAAAGUAAACCAAAAUACAAAUAUCAGAGUUAACCCUAAAGUUAUAAGAGAUCAUUUUAUGAUACAGUCCUACUUUAUAUAAUGGUUUGUGAACAAAAAUGUUAGAGACUAAAAAUAUGAGAAGGAUUAAGAAAGAGGCAGUGAGGUAGCUAGGGUAAUUCAGUGGCUACAGCACAAGACCAACAGUCAAGAGAACCUGGGUUCAAACCUAGCCUCAGACACUUUCUAGCUGUGUGACCCAGGGCAGGUCACUUAACCCCAAUUGCCCAGCCCUGGCAGAUC